rnacentral:rRNA from 1 species
AAGUUUUCGGAUGGAUUUUUGAUUGACUGAGUGGCGGACGGGUGAGUAACGCGUGGAUAACCUGCCUCACACUGGGGGAUAACAGUUAGAAAUGACUGCUAAUACCGCAUAACCCGCUAGUACCGCAUGGUACGGACGGAAAAGAUGUAUCGGUAUAAGAUGGACCCGCGUCUGAUUAGCUGGUUGGUGAGGUAACGGCUCACCAAGGCGACGAUCAGUAGCCGGACUGAGAGGUUGACCGGCCACAUUGGGACUGAGAUACGGCCCAGACUCC